GACGAACGCUGGCGGCGUGCUUAACACAUGCAAGUCGAACGGAAAGGCCCUGCUUUUGUGGGGUGCUCGAGUGGCGAACGGGUGAGUAACACGUGAGUAACCUGCCCUUGACUUUGGGAUAACUUCAGGAAACUGGGGCUAAUACCGGAUAGGGGCUCCUGCUGCAUGGUGGGGGUUGGAAAGUUUCGGCGGUUGGGGAUGGACUCGCGGCUUAUCAGCUUGUUGGUGGGGUAGUGGCUUACCAAGGCUUUGACGGGUAGCCGGCCUGAGAGGGUGACCGGCCACAUUGGGACUGAGAUACGGCCCAGACUCCUACGGGAGGCAGCAGUGGGGAAUAUUGCACAAUGGGCGGAAGCCUGAUGCAGCAACGCCGCGUGCGGGAGGACGGCCUUCGGGUUGUAAACCGCUUUCGCCUGUGACGAAGCGUGAGUGACGGUAAUGGGUAAAGAAGCACCGGCUAACUACGU
rnacentral:rRNA from 1 species